GAUGAACGCUGGCGGCGUGCUUAACACAUGCAAGUCGAACGGGAAACCUUUUAUUGAAGCUUCGGCAGAUUUAGCUGGUUUCUAGUGGCGGACGGGUGAGUAACGCGUGGGUAACCUGCCUUAUACAGGGGGAUAACAACCAGAAAUGGUUGCUAAUACCGCAUAAGCGCACAGGACCGCAUGGUCCGGUGUGAAAAACUCCGGUGGUAUAAGAUGGACCCGCGUUGGAUUAGCUAGUUGGCAGGGUAACGGCCUACCAAGGCGACGAUCCAUAGCCGGCCUGAGAGGGUGAACGGCCACAUUGGGACUGAGGCACGGCCCAGAACCCUACGGGAGGCAGCAGUGGGGAAUAUUGCACAAUGGGGGAAACCCUGAUGCAGCGACGCCGCGUGAAGGAAGAAGUAUCUCGGUAUGUAAACUUCUAUCAGCAGGGAAGAUAGUGACGGUACCUGACUAAGAAGCCCCGGCUAACUACGUG
rnacentral:rRNA from 1 species